UACGUAGGGGGCAAGCGUUAUCCGGAUUUACUGGGUGUAAAGGGAGCGUAGGUGGCGUGCCAAGUCAGGAGUGAAAACCCAGGGCCCAACCCUGGGACUGCUCUUGAAACUGGCAGGCUUGAGUGCUGGAGAGGUAAGCGGAAUUCCUAGUGUAGCGGUGAAAUGCGUAGAUAUUAGGAGGAACACCAGUGGCGAAGGCGGCUUACUGGACAGUGACUGACACUGAGGCUCGAAAGCGUGGGGAGCAAACAGG
rnacentral:rRNA from 1 species